UACGUAGGCAGCGAGCGUUGUUCGGAAUUAUUGGGCGUAAAGAGUGUGUAGGCGGUGUUCUAAGUCUGUCGUGAAAUCUCCCGGCUUAACUGGGAGGGUGCGGCGGAAACUGGAAUGCUAGAGGGUGGGAGAGGUAAGCGGAAUUCCUGGUGUAGCGGUGAAAUGCGUAGAUAUCAGGAGGAACACCUGUGGUGUAGACAGCUUACUGGACCACUUCUGACGCUGAGACACGAAAGCGUGGGUAGCAAACAGG
rnacentral:rRNA from 1 species